ACGGGAGGCAGCAGUGAGGAAUAUUGGUCAAUGGGCGGAAGCCUGAACCAGCCAUGCCGCGUGCAGGAAUAAGGCCCUAUGGGUCGUAAACUGCUUUUGUAGUGGAGCAAUAAGGUCUACGUGUAGACUGAUGAGAGUACAUUACGAAUAAGCAUCGGCUAACUCCGUGCCAGCAGCCGCGGUAAUACGGAGGAUGCAAGCGUUAUCCGGAUUUAUUGGGUUUAAAGGGUGCGUAGGCUGUGCGUCAAGUCAGCGGUGAAAGCCCGGGGCCUAACUCCGGAACUGCCGUUGAUACUGUCGCGCUGGAAUACGGAUGCCGUGGGAGGAAUGAGUAGUGUAGCGGUGAAAUGCAUAGAUAUUACUCAGAACACCGAUUGCGAAGGCAUCUCACGAAUCCGUCAUUGACGCUGAGGCACGAAAGCGUGGGGAUCAAACAGGAUUAGAUACCCUGGUA
rnacentral:rRNA from 1 species